rnacentral:rRNA from 1 species
UACGUAGGGUGCAAGCGUUAAUCGGAAUUACUGGGCGUAAAGCGUGCGCAGGCGGUGAUGUAAGACAGAUGUGAAAUCCCCGGGCUCAACCUGGGAACUGCAUUUGUGACUGCAUCGCUGGAGUGCGGCAGAGGGGGAUGGAAUUCCGCGUGUAGCAGUGAAUGCGUAGAUAUGCGGAGGAACACCGAUGGCGAAGGCAAUCCCCUGGGCCUGCACUGACGCUCAUGCACGAAAGCGUGGGGAGCAAACAGG